UCUGACAAACACCAUCGCAAC
rnacentral:miRNA from 1 species